rnacentral:rRNA from 1 species
GAGUUUGAUCCUGGCUCAGGACGAACGCUGGCGGCGUGCCUAAUACAUGCAAGUCGAACGCACGAAGUUGAAGAGCUUGCUCUUUGACCAAGUGAGUGGCGGACGGGUGAGUAACACGUGGGUAACCUGCCCAUUAGAGGGGGAUAACAUUCGGAAACGGAUGCUAAUACCGCAUAGUUUCAGGAAUCGCAUGAUUCUUGAAGGAAAGGUGGCUUCGGCUACCACUAAUGGAUGGACCCGCGGCGUAUUAGCUAGUUGGUGAGGUAAUGGCUCACCAAGGCAAUGAUACGUAGCCGACCUGAGAGGGUGAUCGGCCACACUGGGACUGAGACACGGCCAGACUCCUACGGGAGGCAGCAGUAGGGAAUCUUCCGCAAUGGACGAAAGUCUGACGGAGCAACGCCGCGUGAGUGAAGAAGGUUUUCGGAUCGUAAAACUCUGUUGUUAAAGAAGAACAAGGAUGAGAGUAACUGCUCAUCCCCUGACGGUAUUUAACCAGAAAGCCACGGCUAACUACGUGCCAGCAGCCGCGGUAAUACGUAGGUGGCAAGCGUUGUCCGGAUUUAUUGGGCGUAAAGCGAGCGCAGGCGGUUCUUUAAGUCUGAUGUGAAAGCCCCCGGCUCAACCGGGGAGGGUCAUUGGAAACUGGAGAACUUGAGUGCAGAAGAGGAGAGUGGAAUUCCACGUGUAGCGGUGAAAUGCGUAGAUAUGUGGAGGAACACCAGUGGCGAAGGCGACUCUCUGGUCUGUAACUGACGCUGAGGCUCGAAAGCGUGGGGAGCAAACAGGAUUAGAUACC